CCUUGAUCCUCUUUUUUUUCUUUUCCCUUUCCUUCCUUUCUUUCUUUGCUCCUUAGCACUCCCUUAUUGACUCCAGAACAGGAAUAAGGGGAGGACGAAGGGGAAAAAUUGGCUGGGCGGUUGUAUGAGUUCGCCUCUUGAUUUUUUUUUUACUUGUAAAACAAAAAAAAAGGGAG
rnacentral:ribozyme from 11 species